rnacentral:rRNA from 1 species
UGCUCCCGAUUCACGGAGAUGCCACUGAUUAUUAGAGGAGUAAGUCGUACAAGGGUUCCGUAGGGGAACUGCGGGAAAGGAUCAUUAACGU